rnacentral:rRNA from 1 species
CAAUAGCGUAUAUUAAAGUUGUUGCGGUUAAAAAGCUCGUAGUUGGAUUUCUGCCGAGGACGACCGGUCCGCCCUCUGGGUGAGUAUCUGGCUCGGCCUGGGCAUCUUCUUGGAGAACGUAGCUGCACUUGACUGUGUGGUGCGGUAUCCAGGACUUUUACUUUGAGGAAAUUAGAGUGUUUCAAGCAGGCUUACGCCUUGAAUACAUUAGCAUGGAAUAAUAAGAUAGGACCUCGGUUCUAUUUUGUUGGUUUCUAGAGCUGAGGUAAUGAUUAAUAGGGAUAGUUGGGGGCACCUGUAUUGCGUUGUCAGAGGUGAAAUUCUUGGAUUUACGCAAGACAAACAGCUGCGAAAGCGUCUGCCAAGGAUGUUUUCAUUAA